UCCCUACACCUAACGUGGGGCUUGAGCUCACAACCUGGAGAUCAAGAGUAGCAUGCUCCACCAACUGAGCCAGCCAGGCAACCCUGUCUAUGAGAUUUCUUAAGAACAAUAUAAUUUUGUAAUUUGACAAGGACCUGCACCUCUACCUUAUGCGUGCCUUAGUGUAUGUCUUCCUGAUAAGGGACAAGGAGUUAAUGAUUUCUUUGGAGUCUUCCAGCAGAGUAGAUAACAUCUAAGGAGUGACCAGGCAAGAAUGAGCAGAAGGCUGAUUGGUAACACACACCAUCCAGGGAACCUAUGUUUUGAUACAAGGGAACCUAUAUUUUGAUACAAGAAUAUUUUUCUCUAAGAUGAAUCAUGAUUGACUUCUUCUUUGAUCUCCUACCCUUCUUUCUUACUAAGGCAAAGUUUGGUGUCAAGAAGAACAUAUGAGCUUAGUAUGAGGACAGGCUUUACACCCAGUGUGGAGUGCAGUAUGGGGCUUGAAGUCACAGCC